rnacentral:rRNA from 1 species
AACGAACGCUGGCGGCAUGCCUAACACAUGCAAGUCGAACGAAGUCUUCGGACUUAGUGGCGCACGGGUGCGUAACGCGUGGGAAUCUGCCCUUGGGUGCGGAAUAACUUCUCGAAAGGGAUGCUAAUACCGCAUAAUGUCGUAAGACCAAAGAUUUAUCGCCCAAGGAUGAGCCCGCGUAAGAUUAGCUAGUUGGUGGGGUAAAAGCCUACCAAGGCGACGAUCUUUAGCUGGUCUGAGAGGAUGAUCAGCCACACUGGGACUGGGACACGGCCCAGACUCCUACGGGAGGCAGCAGUGGGGAAUAUUGGACAAUGGGCGAAAGUCUGAUCCAGCAAUGCCGCGUGAGUGAUGAAGGCCUUAGGGUUGUAAAGCUCUUUUACCCGGGAUGAUAAUGACAGUACCGGGAGAAUAAGCCCCGGCUAACUCCGUGCCAGCAGCCGCGGU